CUGUCAGAUGAACAUUGGAAGUGACAAGAUUUCUGCACAGAGAUUUUCCCUGAUCAAGAGUGCAACAUGAGCUGCUGUGGAUAUUAACUUUACUGCCAGAUGAACAUUGGAAGUGAAAAAGAUUUCUGCGCAUAGAUUUUCCCUGGUCAAGAGUGCAACAUGAGGUGUGGAUAUGAACUUUACUGUCAAAUGUACAUUGAUUGGAAAGUGAACAAGAUAUCUGCACUGAGAAUGAAUGAAGUUAAAGAAAGUUGAAAGGCACCCCAGAAGAACCUGAAUUAUUUUAGCCCUAUCCUAGAUUCAUUGAAUAUUUUAGUGUGUGAUAACAUGUGUGAAAUGUGAUCAAUUAUGUGACAAUUUUCAAAACUUGGAUUUAUA